rnacentral:rRNA from 1 species
AUGGGCGCGCUGCCGGCGCCGGCCGUUACUUUCUUCUCGUCCCGAGGUCCGAGCAAGGCCAGCCCGGGCAUCCUGAAGCCGGACAUCACGGGGCCCGGCAUGAACAUACUCGCGGCGUGGUCGCCGAGCGAGUCGCACACGGAGUUCUCCGACGGGGGCGUCGGCCUCUCUUUCUUCGUGGAGUCUGGCACGUCCAUGUCGACGCCGCACCUGAACGGCAUCGCCGCACUCAUCAAGAGCCUGCACCCGGACUGGUCACCGGCGGCGAUCAAAUCCUCCAUCAUGACGACGUCGGACGCAGUGGACCGCACCGGCGUGCCCCUCAAGGACGAGCAGUACCGCCUCGCCACCUUCUACGCCAUGGGCGCGGGCUACGUCAACCCCGCGCUCGCCUUUGACCCGGCCUAG